rnacentral:rRNA from 1 species
UACGUAGGGGGCUAGCGUUGUCCGGAAUCAUUGGGCGUAAAGCGCGUGUAGGCGGUCCGGUAAGUCCGCUGUGAAAGUCGGGGGCUCAACCCUCGGAUGCCGGUGGAUACUGUCAGACUAGAGUGCGGAAGAGGCGAGUGGAAUUCCCGGUGUAGCGGUGAAAUGCGCAGAUAUCGGGAGGAACACCAAUGGCGAAGGCAGCUCGCUGGGACGUUACUGACGCUGAGACGCGAAAGCGUGGGGAGCAAACAGG